GGUUAAGCGACUAAGCGUACACGGUGGAUGCCCUGGCAGUCAGAGGCGAUGAAGGACGUGCUAAUCUGCGAAAAGCGUCGGUAAGGUGAUAUGAACCGUUAUAGCCGGCGAUGUCCGAAUGGGGAAACCCAGUGCAAUUCGUUGCACUAUCGUUAACUGAAUACAUAGGUUAACGAGGCGAACCGGGGGAACUGAAACAUCUAAGUACCCCGAGGAAAAGAAAUCAACCGAGAUUCCCCCAGUAGCGGCGAGCGAACGGGGAGCAGCCCGGAGUCUGAAUCAGCUUGUGUGUUAGUGGAAGCGUCUGGAAAGUCGCAGGGUACAGGGUGAUACUCCCGUACACUAAAACACACAGGCUGUGAACUCGAAGAGUAGGGCGGGACACGUGGUAUCCUGUCUGAAUAUGGGGGGACCAUCCUCCAAGGCUAAAUACUCCUGACUGACCGAUAGUGAACCAGUACCGUGAGGGAAAGGCGAAAAGAACCCCGGCGAGGGGAGUGAAAAAGAACCUGAAACCGUGUACGUACAAGCAGUAGGAGCCCACUAGUUGGGUGACUGCGUACCUUUUGUAUAAUGGGUCAGCGACUUAUAUUCUGUAGCAAGGUUAACCGUAUAGGGGAGCCGCAGGGAAACCGAGUCUUAACUGGGCGUUAAGUUGCAGGGUAUAGACCCGAAACCCGGUGAUCUAGCCAUGGGCAGGUUGAAGGUUGGGUAACACUAACUGGAGGACCGAACCGACUAAUGUUGAAAAAUUAGCGGAUGACUUGUGGCUGGGGGUGAAAGGCCAAUCAAACCGGGAGAUAGCUGGUUCUCCCCGAAAGCUAUUUAGGUAGCGCCUCGUGAAUUCAUCUUCGGGGGUAGAGCACUGUUUCGGCUAGGGGGUCAUCCCGACUUACCAACCCGAUGCAAACUACGAAUACCGAAGAAUGUUAUCACGGGAGACACACGGCGGGUGCUAACGUCCGUCGUGAAGAGGGAAACAACCCAGACCGCCAGCUAAGGUCCCAAAGUCAUGGUUAAGUGGGAAACGAUGUGGGAAGGCCCAGACAGCCAGGAUGUUGGCUUAGAAGCAGCCAUCAUUUAAAGAAAGCGUAAUAGCUCACUGGUCGAGUCGGCCUGCGCGGAAGAUGUAACGGGGCUAAACCAUGCACCGAAGCUGCGGCAGCGACACUAUGUGUUGUUGGGUAGGGGAGCGUUCUGUAAGCCGUUGAAGGUGGCCUGUGAGGGUUGCUGGAGGUAUCAGAAGUGCGAAUGCUGACAUAAGUAACGAUAAUGCGGGUGAAAAACCCGCACGCCGGAAGACCAAGGGUUCCUGUCCAACGUUAAUCGGGGCAGGGUGAGUCGACCCCUAAGGCGAGGCCGAAAGGCGUAGUCGAUGGGAAACAGGUUAAUAUUCCUGUACUUGGUGUUACUGCGAAGGGGGGACGGAGAAGGCUAUGUUGGCCGGGCGACGGUUGUCCCGGUUUAAGCAUGUAGGCGGAUGUUCCAGGUAAAUCCGGAACGUUAUUAACGCUGAGGUGUGAUGACGAGGCACUACGGUGCUGAAGUGACAAAUGCCCUGCUUCCAGGAAAAGCCUCUAAGCAUCAGGUAACAUCAAAUCGUACCCCAAACCGACACAGGUGGUCAGGUAGAGAAUACCAAGGCGCUUGAGAGAACUCGGGUGAAGGAACUAGGCAAAAUGGUGCCGUAACUUCGGGAGAAGGCACGCUGAUGGUAAGUGAAGUGACUUGCUCAUGGAGCUGAAAUCAGUCGAAGAUACCAGCUGGCUGCAACUGUUUAUUAAAAACACAGCACUGUGCAAACACGAAAGUGGACGUAUACGGUGUGACGCCUGCCCGGUGCCGGAAGGUUAAUUGAUGGGGUUAUCCUCACGGAGAAGCUCUUGAUCGAAGCCCCGGUAAACGGCGGCCGUAACUAUAACGGUCCUAAGGUAGCGAAAUUCCUUGUCGGGUAAGUUCCGACCUGCACGAAUGGCGUAAUGAUGGCCAGGCUGUCUCCACCCGAGACUCAGUGAAAUUGAACUCGCUGUGAAGAUGCAGUGUACCCGCGGCAAGACGGAAAGACCCCGUGAACCUUUACUAUAGCUUGACACUGAACACUGGUCCUUGAUGUGUAGGAUAGGUGGGAGGCUUUGAAGUGUGGACGCCAGUCUGCAUGGAGCCGUCCUUGAAAUACCACCCUUUAAUGGCUGGUGUUCUAACGUUGGCCCCUAAUCGGGGUUGCGGACAGUGUCUGGUGGGUAGUUUGACUGGGGCGGUCUCCUCCUAAAGAGUAACGGAGGAGCACGAAGGUCAGCUAAUCCUGGUCGGACAUCAGGAGGUUAGUGCAAUGGCAUAAGCUGGCUUGACUGCGAGCGUGACGGCGCGAGCAGGUGCGAAAGCAGGUCAUAGUGAUCCGGUGGUUCUGAAUGGAAGGGCCAUCGCUCAACGGAUAAAAGGUACUCCGGGGAUAACAGGCUGAUACCGCCCAAGAGUUCAUAUCGACGGCGGUGUUUGGCACCUCGAUGUCGGCUCAUCACAUCCUGGGGCUGAAGUAGGUCCCAAGGGUAUGGCUGUUCGCCAUUUAAAGUGGUACGCGAGCUGGGUUUAGAACGUCGUGAGACAGUUCGGUCCCUAUCUGCCGUGGGCGCUGGAGAAUUGAGGGGGGCUGCUCCUAGUACGAGAGGACCGGAGUGGACGCAUCACUGGUGUUCGGGUUGUCAUGCCAAUGGCAUUGCCCGGUAGCUAAAUGCGGAAGAGAUAAGUGCUGAAAGCAUCUAAGCACGAAACUUGCCCCGAGAUGAGUUCUCCCUGACUCCUUGAGAGUCCUGAAGGAACGUUGAAGACGACGACGUUGAUAGGCCGGGUGUGUAAGCGCAGCGAUGCGUUGAGCUAACCGGUACUAAUGAACCGUGAGGCUUAACCUU
rnacentral:rRNA from 1 species